CGGACGGGUGAGUAACACGUGGAUAACCUACCUAUAAGGCUGGGAUAACUUCGGGAAACCGGAGCUAAUACCGGAUAAUAUAUUGAACCGCAUGGUUCAAUAGUGAAAGACGGUUUUGCUGUCACUUAUAGAUGGAUCCGCGCCGCAUUAGCUAGUUGGUAAGGUAACGGCUUACCAAGGCAACGAUGCGUAGCCGACCUGAGAGGGUGAUCGGCCACACUGGAACUGAGACACGGUCCAGACUCCUACGGGAGGCAGCAGUA
rnacentral:rRNA from 1 species